UUUAUCUCUAAAACCUAGAGCUCCACAAUUAAACGUGGUUUAAUCCGUGGUUUUAUUAAUACCUGUGGGUUCAAACAAAAAUGUUUCCGGGUUCAGGUUUGAAGAAACUUGGUUACUAUAAUCCCAGGGCUUACCUCUAAUCGCGCACUCCCCAAUUGAGGCUGUUGUUGGUUUAUGUGCAGAUAUGCAAGCAGGUAGAUCACGUGUUUAACCACAUAAUCUCAUAACACGUAAAAGAAUCUUCAACCGAUUUAAAGGAACAUGUAAAUAGCUAAAAAAGGAAGAAAAAUAGAAACGGAGAUGCCCAGGAAAAAGUUAAUAUUUAAAUAUUAGAAUUUUGUUUAAUUGUUUUUAAUCUAUUCCAAACAUUUUAUAGACGUUCCGACUAUUUUUAAUGGUUUUUGCGGUGUUUUUAAAAUUUGAUUUUAAUUUGGCCGAAUAGUGAUUUGUUGUUUUUUAACGUUUACGACAUCCCUAUAUUCCAAUUCAAUUAAUUGUAAAUAGAAAUUUUGAAAGAUGAUUUCCGUACCCCGUAAAUUUUUAACCUAAUUUUUAAUUCGCAUAAAUGUAAAAUUGAUAUUAUAAAUUUUGUUAAUGCCCGAUUAAGCGUUUUUUUUACUAUUAUAUUAAUCAAAUUAAUCUUAACAAAAAUCCAUCGAAUUUUGUCGGUUUCCCUAUUUUUAUUUAAUUAUUUUAAAUUUAGGAAAUUAAUUAUAAACCGUUUUUCCGAAAUUGUUCCCAAUUGUAUUAAACAUUAAUAUAAUAAUUAUAAUAGCAAUUUUAAUUUAAAUUGUUAAUAACUUGGUGCUAACAGGGGGUAUAGGGGUAAACCCUAAGUGCGGCGUGGUUAAUAACCAGUGCUAAAAUGCGCUAAAUGCAUUAAAAUAUAAAACGUUGUACGCAAAUGGACAUUAAUAUAUUGGUGGAAGGACUUUGCUUUGUCCAUUUAUAUAUUUUCCGACAUCGAAAUGGGGCUCGGCACGCCACAAAGGCUUCCGGUACCGCAAAUAAAUUUCCGAAAAAUUAAUUUGUAUGGGUUUUUAAAAAAACAUCUUUAUUUGUUAACAAACCAUAUUUAGGUUCGUACGCAAUCGUUAAUUUGUGAGUUUUUCCACCCGGUGUAGGGUAAUUAAUUUGCAGGUGCAAAGUAGGUAUUAAACCCGGUGCAGGGUAAAUAAUCCCAUUCGUUAAUGUUUAAAUCGCAAUUUUUGCAUUUAACAAAUUAACAGAAUUCCAACCACCCCAUUUUGGAAUUAUAUAUAAUGGGUUAUAUAUAAAUAAAAAUGGGUUUAUUAUAUGCAAAAUAAUUCAUAUAAUUAAUACCCCUUUUUUGCUAUUUAAUCCAAAAAUAAAAUCGGAAAAGAAAAAUACGUAAAAAAAAUAAAUAAAAAAAAUAAAUAAAAAAAAAUAAGAAAAAGAAAUUCCCCUUGGUAUCCCAACCCAGUUCGAACCCCCGAUAGGAGCCCCCUGGAUAAUUAAGUCCUUUAUACCGAGCCCCCUAAUUAAUUAAACCCCAAAUUGGACGAACCCCCGAAUUAAAAAAACCCCCAAAAUUGUAGCAACCCCCGGAUUUGAACACACGACCUAUAAAUUAUAAUCCACGGAAUAUAUUAUUAAACCAGGUAGUUAAUUUAGUUGUUCGUUAUUAUAACUCGAAAAAACUAAAUAUAUAAAAUAAAUCAAAUCGCUAGGUCGCCCAAAGCGCAAAUUAAUUAAAUUCGGAUUUAAUUUUGGGUAUAGGGCUGGUAGAAAUCGCUUAUUAAUUAAUUUGUGCAGGGUAAGUUCGGGUAAUACGGUCGGUAUUAAAUUAUUAAAAAAUCUAAUAAUUGCAAAUAGCAAAUAAGAGAGAACAAUGGUGGUAAUUAAUUAACGAAUUAAUUAGGUACCCUUAAAUUAAAUAGGGAAAAGUUAAAUUUACAGGGGUUUUAACCCUAUAAAUUUUAAAAAAAACCUUGUAAAUUGGAAACGUUAGGGGUUUUAGAAAAUUAUUAGCGGAUAUUUGUCUGGAUUCCAAAUAUUUUAGGGUUAUUAAU
rnacentral:sRNA from 1 species